UAGUCGGCUCGGUUACCUGG
rnacentral:snRNA from 1 species